UACGUAGGGGGCAAGCGUUGUCCGGAUUUAUUGGGCGUAAAGAGCGUGUAGGCGGCCGUACAGGUCAGCUGUGAAAACUCGAGGCUCAACCUCGAGACGUCGGUUGAAACCGUACGGCUAGAGUCCGGAAGAGGAGAGUGGAAUUCCCGGUGUAGCGGUGAAAUGCGCAGAUAUCGGGAGGAACACCAGUGGCGAAGGCGGUUGCCUGGGGCUUUGCUGACGCUGAUGCGCGAAAGCGUGGGGAGCGAUCCGG
rnacentral:rRNA from 1 species